ACGUCUUUCUUGGUCUCGUAGACAUGGCCGACGCGGGUCAUAGUGUAAUAUCUGUUCUUAUCAGCUUAAUAUCUGAUGCGGAUUGCAUUUGGACCCAAGAUAUUAAACUUAUUUUUGCAAAUUGGCGGAGUGCUUGAAGCCAGCUGGUAUUGCACUAUCUGGUAUUGUACCAUCUUCGGGAUUGGCCCACGGUUU